rnacentral:rRNA from 1 species
GAGGCGGCUGCUACACAUGCAGUCGAGCGGAUGACAGGAGCUUGCUCCUGUGUUCAGUGGCGGACGGGUGAGUAAUGCCUAGGAAUCUGCCUGGUAGUGGGGGACAACGUUUCGAAAGGAACGCUAAUACCGCAUACGUCCUACGGGAGAAAGCGGGGGAUCUUCGGACCUUGCGCUAUCAGAUGAGCCUAUGUCGGAUUAGCUAGUUGGUGAGGUAAUGGCUCACCAAGGCGACGAUCCGUAACUGGUCUGAGAGGAUGAUCAGUCACACUGGAACUGAGACACGGUCCAGACUCCUACGGGAGGCAGCAGUGGGGAAUUUUGGACAAUGGGCGAAAGCCUGAUCCAGCCAUGCCGCGUGUGUGAAGAAGGUCUUCGGAUUGUAAAGCACUUUUGGUUGGAAGGAAGGGUUGUAGAUUAAUACUCUGCGAUUUUGACGUUACCGACAGAAUAAGCACCGGCUAACUCUGUGCCAGCAGCCGCGGUAAUACAUAGGGUGCAAGCGUUAAUCGGAAUUACUGGGCGUAAAGCGCGCGCAGGUGGUUUGUUAAGAUGGAUGUGAAAUCCCCGGGCUCAACCUGGGAACUGCAUCCAAGACUGGCAAGCUAUAGUAUGGUAAAGGGUGGUGGAAUUUCCUCGUGUACCUGUGAAUUGCGUAAAGUUGUGCAGAAAUACGAGAGGGGAACGGCACCCCCUGGGUGAAUCUUGACGCUGUGGCGGAAGCUCAUGAGGCCAACCAGGAUUAGUAUACCCUGUUAGUCACCGCUGUAAGCAAUGUCAUCUACUUUUGGGCCUCUGUCUGGAAUACGCCUAACGCGCUGAUUUGACCGCCUGAGAGUACGCCGCAAGUAAAUCUAAGGAAUGUAAACUGUAUAAAA